AAGGUGAUGGAGUUGACAACCAACUCCCCUUGCGUUUAGACGCUAAAAACCAUCCCUUUUUAUAUCUAUGUGAUUAGCCCAGGGAAACUAAGGCUCAGACAUGGAUAAUACCACAGCCGAGUUCCUGUAGCCCAACUCCCUAGGGGAAAUGAAACCUACAGUUGUGGUUUUAAUAUGCUUGGCCCAGGGGCAGUGGCCCUAUUGGCAGGAGUGGCCUUAUUAGAGGAGGUGUACCUUGUUAGAGGAAGUGUGUCACUUGGAGGCGAGGUUUUGAGGUACGUAUGCUCAAGUCUGGCCAGUGUGAUCCUGGCUGUCUGCAGAACGCGGUCUCCUGGCUGCCUUCGGAUCAAGGUGUAGAACUCUCAGCUCCUUCUCCAGCACCAUGUCUGCCUGCUUAAUGCUUUGCUUCUUUCCAUGACGAUAAUGAACUGUGCCUCUGAAACUGUAAGUCAACCCCAAUUACACAAUUACAUGUUUUCUUUUAUAAGAGUUGCAUAUAUAUAUAUAUAUGUCACACUCUUUAGCUCUGGCUGGCCUGAAAUUCACUAUGUAGCCCAGGAUUGCCUGAACUUUGAAGCAAUCUUCCUGCCUCAGCCUCCCAAUGGUAUUACAGGCAUGAGUCACAACAAGCCAUUUAAAUCUUAUGAUGACUUAUAAGAAGACAGAAAAUCAGAGUUCCUUUACCUAGUUCACAGAUCCCUACAAUCUAACCUCGUUCGCUCCAUAAACAGCCCUACCCCACCCUCCUGGAACUGCUUUGAGGAAUGCUGCAGGCUCUCACAGGCACACUCCUCCUUGGUUAAUCUCUUCAGCCUGGUUGCCUUCCCUCCCCAUGUCCAUGUGGCCCAAAGCCUCUCAUCCUGUUCUCAAAUACCACUAGCUAGUAAGGCCUCCCCGACCUGACCCCGGUUUAAAUAUUAGAAAAGGGUCACUUUCUCCCCUGCCACAGACAACCAAACCACCAUAUGCUUGUCACUUACUACCUGACUAUGAAGGUGAAUAGAUGUCUUCACAACCUUUCUCUGAGCCUCAGUUUCCCCACCUGCAUAAUGCAUCUGAGACACAGAAUUCCCUAGAGCUGUGGUUCUCCUCAUUCCUAGUGCUGGGACCCUUUAAUACAUUUCCUCAUGUUGUGGUGACUCCACCACCACCAUAAAAUUAUUUUCAUUGAUACUUCAUAACUGUAAUUUUUUCUAUUGUUAUGAAUAGUAGUGUAAGCAUUUGUGUUUCCCAGUGAUCUUAGAUGACCCUGUGGAAGAGUCAUUCCACCCCCAAAGGGGUCCCCACCACAAGUUAAGAAUUCCUGCCAUAGAGGAAUCACAAGGAACCAAUGAAUUACACUUUGGGUCGACUUUUGGGCUGGCCUCUGGGAGGCGCUAGAGCUACAUCAAUUCUGAAACUUUGUGUGUGUGUGUGUGUGUGUGUGUGUGUGUGUGUGUCCUGAGUCAGGGUGCUGAGAUAGGCCAGUGGCUUUAGUGUUCCUGGACCCAUUACUCACCAGAAUUCUCCCCUCACCUGAUUCUUUGAUGUGAACACAAUGUCUUGGGAAAGAUGUCUUAGAAAGCAUCUUUAGAAAACGUUAUUUUUUAAAAAACAACAACAUUUUUUCAUGUAGGUGCGUGUGCAAGGACAACUUGCAGAGUUGGCUCCGUCCUUCUACCAUGUCCAUUGGAGGAAUCACCUUUACCCUCUAGGCCACCUUGCCAUUCUCCGUGCAGGUUGGCCUGGAUCUCACUACCUCAACCAGACUGGCAUGUGACUCUGCUGAGAUCUGCCUACUUCUGCCUCCUGGGUGCAGAGGACAAUUUUUGGAAGUUAGUUCUCUUCUUCCAUCUUGUGUAUUCCAGGGAUUGAACUCGGGUCAUCAGGCUUGGCUGCAAGUGACUUACUUAGGUGUCUCCCAGACCCUCUCGGUUUGAUUAGUUAGAUGCUGCACUUCAUGCCUGACUUUCACACUAUGUAGAUAGAGCAAUGUCUAUAACAUCUCCUACAAUGAUAUAUAUAUCAAGAACCAAGUGAUCGGCUGGUGAGAUGGCUCAGUGGGUAAGAGCACAGACUGGUCCUGAGUUCAAAUCCCAGCAAUCACAUAGUGGCUUCCAUUCCCUUUUAUGGAUUGUCUGAAGACUGCUACAGUGUACUUACAUAU
ensembl:lincRNA Gm26802 predicted gene, 26802